UACGUAGGGUGCGAGCGUUAAUCGGAAUUACUGGGCGUAAAGCGUGCGCAGGCGGUUCGUUGUGUCUGUGGUGAAAGCCCCGGGCUUAACCUGGGAAUGGCCAUGGAAACUGGCGAGCUGGAGUGUGGCAGAGGGGGGUGGAAUUCCACGUGUAGCAGUGAAAUGCGUAGAGAUGUGGAGGAACACCGAUGGCGAAGGCAGCCCCCUGGGUCAACACUGACGCUCAUGCACGAAAGCGUGGGGAGCAAACAGG
rnacentral:rRNA from 1 species